AGAACCGACUGCUUGUGUAGGAAGUUGAGCAAGCACCAGCUGGACAAAGAAAAGCCCUGAAAAGCAGGGGUAUGCAAGCUAAAUGGCAUCGUGACAUCUUUUUGACUGCCUGCUGAUUCUUAGCAGCUGUUGAUAAGGAACAUUCUUUCUGUACCACCGCAAGACCUGCUGUGAAAUCUCUAAAGACUGCAUGGGAAUAGGAAACCAGCACAGAGCACGCAGUUCUCCUUUGUUUUGAAUCGUCUGUCAGUAGAUGUGAGCCACACAGUGCUGACAGGACCUGCAUGCUGACACUGUACCACACGCCACCGGGGCUUGGACAUGACAGUACGUGUGGAUCAGGAGCCUAUGAAGUCUGAAGCCUGAAAAUAAAGUCUGAUGUGUCUGAUAAAAUAACUGUAAAUCUAUGUGGACUUCUGCUGAGAUGCAAUUAUUACAAGGUGUACGUGGAGUCUUGGUGGGCUGUGAAUGGCUGUUUGUACGCGAUACACAAAAUCAAGCAAUCCAAAGUGUCCAGCUACGAGAGCAUUGGUUGGCACUGACUCAGUCUGGUACAGGUUUGCUAGAUCUUGCUGUACCUGAUACAAUGAUGGACUUGUUUUCCUCAGAUGAUAUGUAAGAGAGGGCACUAAGCCAGACACUGUGUACUUUUGCUUAUGCUUUUCUGUUUUGCUCUCCCCUUUUUCAUGACUGAUCUUACUUGUUCUUCAGAUAAAACAAGAUUAGACCCUAGCAGCUACAGCUCUACCCGUUUCCAUUGGCUUCUUUACCUUUCUUUAGAACAUGCAUCUCCAAAACAUCUAAAAAUGAUGUUUAUAGCCAUGAUUAGUACCAACUGAACAGAUUGCUGGGGGACUGGUACAAAGAGUGGACAUAACUUAUUACGUAACUCUAAAGGAAAUACAGGAAUGUUACUGAAGUGAAAGCCAUAUUAUAUACAUUGCAUUUUCAAUAUUUGAACUUCUUCUCCUGUUAUUCAUUGGUUAAAAAGUUUAAUGUUUAAUUUCCCUCCUUGUGGCUAUUUCUAUGGGGGAUAUUAAGCAGAGCUGAUGUCUCCACUGUCUGCCUUGUGAACUGCUCACUGUUGUCCAGAGAGAGGUUCAUAUACAUGACUGCUUUGGACUUGGAGUUGAGUUAAGAUUAACACUGCAACACAUGGAUUGUAUUUUCAAAAGUGGAUUAAGAGUCAGUCUAGUAUAGUAUUUUGUAACCACACAGUGUCUAUUUCCAAUUACAUAUUCAUCAAACAGAUUUCUAGUGCAAUCCUUGUUCUUAUCACUUAAAUGGCAUUGCGCAUCUCGAACAGAGAGCAGAAUUCCAUCCAGGUUGCUUACAAAGAAAUUCCAAACUCCUUAAAGACCUGAAAGGCUUCACUGACAGACCAUCUGUAAGUGCUUUUCACAUAGAAGAACAAAAUAAGUGUGGAAAAUUGAUUAAUGUGAGUUGCAAGGCAAUGAGGAAAAUGUACUCAGAGGUUCUUACAUUCCAUCCGAACUAAGAGCAUAUAUGCUAUAUAUAUCCUAUAUAUAGUAUAUGGAGAGAGUAUACAUUUUCUAAUUAGGUAUAGUGGUUUUCCAGUGUAUUUCUUUAUUUUCUGCCAGGCAGCUGGCAGCAGCCUGAGGCAGCUCAGCCUAAUGGUAGUACAGAUCAGGACUUUUAGGUUUUGAGAGUAACCAAAACCAGAAUGAAUGACUGGUGUGUUGAGCAUCAGAGGCUUUGGCACCUGUUACGGACAACUAAAACUGUUGAGAAAAUCCACUUUAGUCAGAUGCUUAAUAGGACAAAGCAUUCAAUAACUUAGUUGCUAAUACUAUACGUCAUGAGAUACAGGCCUAAUUGCAAUGUCUUCAAUGAUUGUUGCUAGAAGAGAAUAAGGAGAGGGAGUUAGAAUAGGGAGAGAAUAACAGAGCCUCUGUCCCCAUAUGAGGACAGGCUGAGAGUGUUUGAUUUGUUCAGCCUGGAAAAGAAAAGGCUCUGGGGAGACCUCACAGCAGCCGCCCAGUACUGAAAGGGGCCGCAGGAAAGCUGGGGAGGGGCUUUUUAUCAGGGAGUGCAGGGAUAGGACUGGGGGGGAUGACAAUUUUAAGCUGAAAAGAGGGAGAUUUAGAUUAGAUGUUAAGAGAAAAUGCUUCCCCGUGAGGGUGGUGAAACACUGGCACAGGUUGCUCAGGGAAGCUGUGGCUGCCCCAUCCCUGGAGGUGUUCAAGGCCAGGUUGGAUGGGGCUUUGAACAACCUGAUGCAGUGGGAGGUGUCCCUGCCCGUAGCAGAUGGGUUGGAGUUAGAUAGGCUUCAAGGUCCCUUCCAACCCAAACCAUUCUGUGAUUCGAUGAGAGGGCAUCCAUGAAUAGUCUAUAUGUUUAAAAUAAUUUCUCGAGAGUUCUUGCUUUCCAAGCACACCCAGAUGAGAGUUUCAGUGAGUUACCAGUGGUGUGCACGGCAGGCAGCUCAUCUCUGAACCUGCGGCCGUCAGAUCGCCUGGGAUACAUAGCUGGGAGGACAGCAACGAGACUGUUCAGUGAGGGAACUAGAGGAACUAAAGAGUAAAGCUUGACAGGCAUGGAUCAGGAGAGCAUAGUUGGAUAAAAUAAGACAGAAACCAACUUGGAAAGGAGAGACUGUGUAUCGUGUAUUACAGUGGUGCAAAGGAUAAGCUCAGAAAUGGUCUAUCUGAAGAGCCGCAGCUGGGGAAGAGAGGUUGUACCCAUGCCGAGGUGGAACCUGCCAUCUGGACACACGGUGGCAGCAGAAAAGCGCAGCCAUCCUUGUGCCAACAACU